ensembl:misc_RNA Metazoa_SRP Metazoan signal recognition particle RNA
ACUGGGUGCGGUGGCACGUGCCUAUAGUCCCAGCCACUCGGGUGGCUGUGGGAGGAUCGCUUGAGCCCAGGAGUUCUGGGCUGUAGUGCGCCAUGCUGAUCAGGUGUUCUCACUAAGUUCGGCAUCAGUAUGGUGACCUCCCGGGAGCAGGGGACUACCAGGUUGCCUAAGAAGGGGUAAACUGGCCCAGGUCAGAAAUGGAGCGGGUCAAAACUCCCGUGCUGAUCAGUAGUCGGAUCUCGCCUGUGAAUAGCCACUGCACUCCAGCCUGGGCAACAUAGCGAGACCCUGUCUCUU